rnacentral:rRNA from 1 species
CCCUUAGAUGUCCUGGGCUGCACGCGCGCUACACUGGAAGUUACGGAUUGAGAUACUACCUUGUCCGAAAUGGUCCGGGUAAUCACCUAAAAGCUUGUCAUAAUUGGAAUGGAUUAUUGUAACUAGUAAUCCUGAACGAGGAAUUCCUAGUAAGUCCCAGUCAACAGCUGGUACUGAUUACGUCCCUGCCCUUUGUACACACCGCCCGUCGCUACUACUGAUUGGACGUUUAAGCAAGAUCUUUAAACACUGACAGUGUGUAGUUCACGCUAUACUACAGUGAGAAGAAGAAGAUCGAGCUUACUUGUCUAGAGGAAGUAAAAGUCGUAACA